AGCGGAGCCAAGAUGGCGGCCGAGUUGGAGUACGAGUCUGUGCUGUGUGUGAAGCCGGACGUCAGCGUCUACCGGAUUCCGCCCCGGGCCUCCAACCGCGGUUACAGGGCAUCUGACUGGAAAUUAGACCAGCCUGAUUGGACUGGUCGCCUCCGAAUCACUUCAAAAGGGAAGACUGCCUAUAUCAAACUCGAGGAUAAAGUUUCAGGGGAGCUCUUUGCUCAGGCACCAGUAGAACAAUAUCCUGGUAUUGCUGUGGAGACAGUGACAGAUUCCAGCCGCUACUUUGUAAUCCGGAUCCAGGAUGGUACUGGGCGCAGUGCUUUCAUUGGCAUUGGCUUCACAGAUCGGGGAGAUGCCUUCGACUUUAAUGUCUCCUUGCAGGAUCACUUCAAGUGAGUGAAGCUUGUCCUUAGUUACGAGGUCGAAUGCUUGUAGGAAUGCUGCUUCUCACGUGAAUGGGCAGUAUCUCUUUUCCUCCUGGUUUCUUUAUUUCUUCAACUAUUUCAUUGUGAAUAUAAAUCUCCUCAUUCACUUUUGUUUCCUUGGGUCAUCUUUGUAUCUAUUCUGUUUCCUUUCCUUAUAGCCUGCAAUAUGUUUUAGAUCCCUUGUGCAGUAGUUUGAAAUGAUGCUCUGUCGAAUGUUGCCCCGUCUUUUAGGUGGUAGAGGGAGGCCUAUGGUAACAGCAGGGCUUUAUGUGGGGAGUUGUGUGCCACUCUUGUUACCUUAUGUAGCUGACAUGUUUUGUGACUUUUGCAACAUUUCUUUAGUCCACUUGAUUUUGGUGCAGCUGUGGUGACAGCACUAUGCACACUGUGAGCUUCCUACCUCAAGAGCAAGCAUAUCUCUCCUUUCCUGCCUCAGGACUCUCUGAAGUUAUAGAAGGCUAAGAGCAAGCUUUAACUUGGAGAGACUAAGAAACUAACACCCCCUCAGGAGCAGCCCUCAACUGUGGGGAAUGGGAAUUGGUGGCUAAAUGCCAUCCUUUUGGAAGAGGCAAUUCUAAUACGUAUUCCUUGAGAUUUCUCAGAGAGUCCCCAGUGGAAUUGAACCCCAGUAGUUUUCUUUCUUGGCUUUUUUCCCUUUUGUUUCUCACUCUUUUUUAUCUCUCACUGUGUUUUCUGGAAUCUCAUUUCAUAAAAGUAAAUACACCCAAAUUUGUAUGUCAGACUCUGCUUUCAGGAAAUCUCAAACUAAGAUAACUUGCUGUGUUCCCAAAGGUGGGUAAAGCAGGAAUCUGAGAUUUCCAAGGAAUCUCAAGAAAUGGAUGCUCGUCCUAAGUUGGAUCUGGGCUUCAAGGAAGGACAAACCAUCAAGUUGAGUAUCGGGAACAUUACAAACAAGAAAGGAGGUGCUUCCAAGCCCAGGACUGCAAGGGGUGGGGGCCUGAGCUUACUCCCACCCCCGCCAGGAGGCAAAGUCACUAUUCCCCCACCAUCCUCCUCAGUUGCCAUCAGCAAUCAUGUCACCCCACCACCCAUUCCGAAAUCUAACCAUGGAGGCAGUGAUGCAGAUAUCCUUUUAGAUUUGGAUUCUCCUGCUCCUGUCACGACACCAGCACCAACUCCAGUUUCUGCAAGCAAUGACUUGUGGGGAGACUUCAGCACUGCAUCCAGCUCUGUUCCAAACCAGGCACCACAGCCAUCCAACUGGGUCCAGUUCUGAAUGGCAUUGGCAGGACAUUAAGGACAGACUUGAGGAAUAAAAAUGACCUUGAGGGCACCAAUCUGUGAGGGAAGUUAGGAACCCAUUUCCUCCCCAGAAUCAAAAUGACUGGACAAUCUUUUUCGUAGCUUCUCCAUCACAUUCAAGCUGGUUUAUGUCACUCCCCUGUGUUGUUACUUGUACAGCCAAGAAAGUAUCUGUUAAUCUCCUGCUUAGUACCAAGGUAGGGGACUAGUGAAUCUUAUCAUAGUUUUGGCUGACUAUGCAGGGCUCAAAAGGCCAGCGUCUGUUUGAGGGGGAAUGACCUCUGACAUCUGUAAAAUUUGUCUCAUCUUUUAAAUUCUUUAACUUAUUUCAAAAUCAUCUCAUGACCCUCGUGUGCCUCUUUGUGAAGCCCUAUUUAGCAAUUUCAGGGGAGUCAAAAACCUUGCAACUUCCUUCUCCACUAACCCAGGACUAAAAAUGGACAGGCUGACCUUAGUGUUUACAAAUUCAGAAUUUUGAUAGGGGUAGAUAUGGAGAAAGACCUAUUUCCUGGGUCUCUGCUGUGUAGUCUCCUUCAGGCUUAUUGUACACAGUGAACAUCCAGUGCUGGGUGCAGCUCCAUCACCCUCUUGUGUGUUUACAUGUCUCUUUCUAUGAUAAGAGGGUUGUGUUGGUGGCACCUCCACUACUCUUUUCUGUUUGUUGAAUUUGAAUUGUGUAACAUCUUUGACCAGUGGGUGUUUCUGUAAUGAAGGAGGUUCAAGAGGCUGUGCUUUCCAAGUGAUAGUCUAUAGGAAUGUUUGAUUUCUUGCAGCUCCAUCUGGUUGCUGCAUUUGAAGCAUGGCAUUAAUUUGUAUUUGCCCUGUUGUUUGACCUUAAGUUGAAGGGUUUAGAGUUUUUAACCUGAUCUGUAGAGCAGAGAGGUUGAAAGCACUUAACUCUUGUUUAGUAUCCUCAUUGCCUUGCUGCCUGGGUAUCUGGCCCCUUUUCAUAAACAUUUCUUUUCAGUUCAUGUAGUUCUUUAAUAGAAAGCUGCUAUUAUGUAUAUUGUCAUUUGUGAAGGAAGUUGGAGAGUCACAGAUUUACUGUGACAGGUUUUGCCCAAGUCUGUGAUACCUGUCACCCAGGGUAUCUUAAAAGCAAGUUGUUCUCCCACUACUUUCCUUUCCCUCUGCCCUGCCAUUCCUUUUACAAUGCUGUGAAAAAAGUUCUGCUUCUUAGGUGAAUGGGUACUUUCUAUUUUGUUUCUAAAUGAGCAAUUUUGAGGAUGAAAUGGGAAGAUAUCAUUUCUUCCUUUUUGCACCUAUUAGGUAUGUACACUCUCUGGCUGAAGGGAGUCCUUAUGUUUAGUUUCAAAAUAUAUUACUUUCCUGGAUUCCCUUCUUAACGUUUUCUGACUUUGGGUCCAUUUUCUUUUCAUUGCCUCCUUUUCCAGGCAGCUCUAUUCUUGCAGAGCCAUGGCAGGACAUAUUAAAAUUCCAGUAGAAAACACUAAAAGGAAAGUCUGUAGAAUCACUAGUGACUAAAUACUGGGAACCUAUUUUCUCAAUCUUCCUCCAUGUUGUGUUCUUUGUAUUCUCAAGAUGAUAAUAUAUUAUGUAUUUGAAUUCCUGAAAAAUGGAAAAUGUUUAAGAUAUAUGUAUAUAAAGCAUAUGCUGUAUUGGU
rnacentral:sRNA from 1 species